GUUUGAAACUUUUUAAAGGAAGUGUCUCUGAUUCUCUACUACUUGAUAUCUUCCCACACCUUUUUAUAAAACUGCACAGGUGUGGCUUUCAGAGGAGACCUGGCUCCUGGACAGAGGAGAAGUCUGGACCUAAAUGGAGUCCACGCCCCCCAGAGCUCCAGGUGGAGCGGGCACUGCAGGGGUCCUGCUGCCAACAGUGUUCCCUCCUGGUGGGUUGCACCCCCUCGCUGAGGUAGAGCCUGCAGAACAAGCCAAAACAGAGGGAGACAAGCAUCAGCCUGGACACACAGGAACAGGAGAUGAACUGGAGAUGUAUUCAUUUGAUAGCUCUUCAGACAGUGAAGACGAGGGUAUUGGCAAGAAGGAGUUGAAGAAAAAGAAGCUGAAAAAGAAGAAGAAGAAGAAGAAAGACUCCAGCUCAUCAUCAUCCUCCUCUUCCUCCUCUUCUUCCUCUAGUAGCUCCUCAGACAGUGAGAGUGAGGUAGGUUGCAGAUCAGUGUGCUGAUCAAGGAUUUGUUAACCAUAUGUGAAACUAUUGACAUGUUUUAGAUCAUUUGAUCCUCGGUGAAACAGCCAGAGGUCGACUCAGCCUCAU
rnacentral:lncRNA from 1 species